AUGGAAGCUCACUCUCUGGUCCUGCACCACGGAUGUUUACCCUGCUCUGCCCCUUCUAAUGCUCUCCAGCCAAGUCAGUCGGGAAGAAAGGGAAGGAAUAGGAGGAAACGUAACACAUUCUUUUCAACGCUCAUUUCUCUUCAGUAAGUACUACAAUUCCCUUCCCCUCUCCAAGAGAUGACAGAGAGUAUAAAGCGUUCCCUCAACGGAUGGUGUGAAGUGUGAGAGGCCAGUCUGUGAGUUUACAGCUUACUAGCUGAAGUGAAAAGGUAAAGUCUAAUAUAUGAAGCAACAGAAAGAGAGAGGGGGUAUCCAUAGUCCUUGACUUCUUCAUGCCCUAAUGAGGCUUUUCCACAGUCGGUGUCAAAUAUCCAAUUUCCUCUCUUUGGUAUUAGAUUAUUUCAGAGCUGCACUGCAUCUACGGGCCAGUUUCUGAGACCCCUUCUUCCAGGGACGUCUCUUACCCAUCCCAGCGAGCUCCAGGCUCCUCUUUAACCAUUCAGACACCUUCGCAUGCAUCUUCAGCUCUUGAUUCCACGUGAUCUGGCCUCGACGUCUAACUCUCUCAGUGUGAAGAGAUACAUUCCGUCAUGGUGGGAAAGGCACGGCAGCAGGAGCAGGAGGCUAGCUGGUCAGAUUGCCUCUGCAGCCACGAAGCACAUAUGUGAAGAGGAAAUGAGACCAGGCUACAGAACCUCA
rnacentral:lncRNA from 1 species